AGCUAUACCCAUGGCCUCACAGAAAAUAUUUAAAAAAGAAGAAAAUAACCAGGCCAGGUCCUUCUCUCCUUUCCACCAUUCAACUCAGCUGAUUUCCUCAAACCGCGGAAUGUCGGAACAAGCUUUUCUAGCUGUAACGGUCCCUCUAUAGGAAAUGAUCUUCCUCUACAAAUGGUAGGCAACACAUGUCCUGGUAUGUCUGAAGGACAAAGGGUCAUCUGUUUCUUAAUCUUGCAUGUGACUCACUUGUGGAGUUAGGGGCCCAUAGGCUGCUUCCUUCUUGCCCAUUCUUCAUAGUGAAGAGUCAUUUUUGAGGCAAAGCCUACGUAAGUCAAGUCUUUAGUUAAAGUGACUGAUGAACAAUUAUUGGACUGAAGGAUCCCAGCAGGCACCUGGAAGUUCAUCUGAUUUAAUCAAAACUGGUCUCACCAGCAGGCUAACUUUAGCCUUUUGCUUGAACCUUUGAAGAGAUAAGAUAAUUCUUAUUUAUUUAUUUAUUUCCUUUCCAGUGCUGGGGAUCGAACCCAGGGCCUCGCACAUGCUAGGCAAGCAUUCUACCACGGACCUACACCCUCAGCCAUAAGAACAUUCAGUUUGGCCAGAGGAGUGAUUUCCUGCUUUGACUGUAGAACCAAACGAUGUAUUAGCCUGUGAUCCAGAUCUGAGAUGGCCUUUCUGAGAAAAGCAGGUUUCCUGGUGGAACAAACAUCCACAUUCAGUGGCCAUCAUGAACAGCCCCCCAGGUGUGCAGUAUCGAGGAGGCCCCCAAUUCUAGGACACCAGGAACACCCAGGUACUCAGCGAUCUCCCUCCACCCAGAACCUCAUGGAAACAACACAGGCACCCAAGGAGUCCAGCCAAGGCCUGCAGGAGCUUUGUGCCUUGUCUAAAACAGAAUCUGAGCAAAUAACGUCUUUUCUACCAUCGGUACUAAGUGUAAGGGUUGGGCUUUGUGAGUUCAGAGAACUUCUACCUACCUUGUGUCCUGGAACCCUCACAACUCUGUGAUGUAAGAUAAGAGGGUGUUCUUAACCCCAUUUGAGAGAAAUCACUGAGGCUUACAAGGGGAAGAGAGAGCUCAAGGCCACACGGUGAAGGGCUAAGACUAAACCCAGCGUCCUCUGACUCCCAGUUCAGUGUUCAGGCCGCCAAACCAUACCUCAGAUUCUCAGCAAUGUUGGGACAAGAGCGCCGUGGGAGAUUAAGGAUGUCCCAGCAACACCCCCACCUGGCCAAAGCAAGCGCACCAUGCAGAAGCACCUGCACAUCCACAUUGACAGCGGCCCCAACUCCUCCAGCACAGACGCGGACCCAUCAGCCCCCACUGACACUGCUUGCAAAACACAAACUUCCGGCAAUUCCAAUAGCCCGUUUGACCCAGCAGAGCCUCAGGGACAAGACUGACUUCAUCUGUCACAACACCACUGCCGCCACUAGAUGCAACCUAGGCCGACCUCUUCAUCAAGCACACUGUCCUGCUCAGAGCAUCUUCCCCUCCCUCGCUCGUCAAGGUCACAAUCUACCUGAAUUUGGGGUCUCUUCUGACCAUUUGUGCUAGGAAGUUUCUGCCUCUCCAGACUCGACCUCCUUCCCUGGCCGCUGAAUUGCAUGUGCCAGGGGCCCAGCCAGCAAAAUCUUUGAAGCAGGACCCCUUUAUGUCCCGCUCUGGAACCUAGUGACUCCCCCACCAACCACAAUAGUUCAGCACUGUUUGCAAAAUGCCUCCAUCCUACCACCUAAGCAGCAGAACUGUAAGAGAAAGCAACAUUCACCUUUGAGAGCGUUGCAGAGUGUCUGUGAUCCCACUGAAGAACUCCACCCCAACAGCUUGCUAGAAUGGAGCUGCCUCUAUAAUCUGUUUAGAAGUGGCUUCUGAGAACCUGAGAUCUUGAGGGCUCCCCUGGCCAGGAAGGGCGAAAGGAUUUGUGCAGAGAUUUCUACGUGACUCAGAAAACAUCCUGGACACUUGGUCUCAUGGUCACAGGGAGGCCCCACCUCAAUGGUCAUAGAGACCUCAUGACCUGGUGAUGGGCUACCUGUUUGAGAAGAAAAUUCACAGCCCAUUUGUCCAGGAACAGGAGCUGGUUCUGCCAGGCAAUGACCCGAGGAGCACACUUCCAAUGGUGAGAGGGAAUUGUGUUAUGAGCCUUGCAAGUAGAAAGAACCAGUAUGGACCAGGUGUUAAAAAAAAAAAAAAGGAACUUAAAGCAUGCAUUCAGGAUUGUGCCUUCCAUAGUCCCUGGGAGAGGGCGCCACUAGAGGGCUAUGAAAGAGAUGCCUUGUUUCUCUUGCCAGCCUUCUUUCAGGAUCUCUCCUCUGAACGCUUUGCCUGUCAUGCUUUGCUACCUAAAGAUGAUGGACAGCCAACCCUCAAUUACCCACAAGUGGAUUAUCUGUAUGAGGAUUAAACUAAGCGAAAUUCAAAUCCCGGACUGAGCUGGCUCUCCCCACCCCAUCCUCCACUGAUUAUUUCUCAAGAAAUGAAAGCUACCUUUAGUCUGAGCAA